GCCGUAGUGGGGUUCCCUGGAGCCAUGGCCUGCUCCAUUGUCCAGUUCUGCUACUUCCAGGACCUCCAGGCCGCCCGGGACUUCCUCUUUCCUCACCUGCGGGAGGAGAUCCUCAGCGGCGCCUUGCGGAGGGACCCCACGUGUUCCUUUGCAAGCACAAAAGCUUGUCUCCAGUCACAAGCCAGUUCAGAAUCAGAAGCAGAAGCAAGUACAGGCAACCAGUGUACCUCAUCCUGCCUCCAGGCCACUGAAUAACACCCAAAAGAGCAAGCAGUCCCUGCUGUCGGCACCUGAAAAUAAUCCUGAGGAGGAACUGGCAUCAAAACAGAAAAAUGAAGAAUCAAAAAAGAGGCAAUGGGCUUUGGAAGACCUUGAAAUUGGUCUCCCUCUGGGUAAAGGAAAGUUUAGUAAUGUUUAUUUGGCAAGAGAAAAACAAAGCAAGUUUAUUCUGGCUCUUAAAGUGUUAUUUAAAGCUCAGCUGGAGAAAGCAGGAGUGGAGCAUCAACUCAGAAGAGAAGUAGAAAUACAGUCCCACCUUCAACAUCCUAAUAUAAUCAGACUGUAUGGUUAUUUCCAUGAUGCCACCAGAGUCUACCUAAUUCUGGAAUGUACACCACUUGAAACAGUCAAUAGAGAACUUCAGAAACUUUCAAAGUUUGAUGAGCAGAGAACUGCUACUUAUAUCACAGAAUUGGCAAAUGCCGUGUCUUACUGUCAUUCAAAGACAGUUAUUCAUAGAGACAUUAAGCCAGAGAACUUACUUCUUGGAUCAGCUGGAGAGCUUGAAAUUGCAAAUUUUGGGUGGUCAGUACAUGUUCCAUCUUCCAGGAGGACCACUCUCUGUGGCAUCCUGGACUACCUGCCCCCCGAAAUGAUUGAAGGUCGGAUGCAUGAUGAGAAGGUGGAUCUCUGGAGCCUUGGAGUUCUUUGCUGUGAAUUUUUAGUUGAGAAGCCUCCUUUUGAGGCAAAUACAUACCAGGAGACCUACAAAAGAAUAUCACAGGUUGAGAAUUCACAUUCCCUGACUUUGUAACAGAGGGAGCCAGGGACCUCAUUUCAAGACUGUUGAAGCAUGAUCCCAGCCAGAGGCCGAUGCUCAGAGAAGUACUUGAAUACCCCUGGAUCACAGCAAAUUCAUCAAAACCAUCAAAUUGCCAAAACAAAGAAUCAACUAGCAAACAUUCUUAGGAAUCCUGCAGGGGGAGAAAUCCUUGAGCCAGGGCUGCUGUAUAACCUGUCAGGAACAUGCUACCGAAAUUUAUUUUACCAUUGACUGCUGCCCUCAAUCUAGAACACUACAAGAAAUAUUUGUUUUACUGAGCAGGUGUGCCUUAACCUCCCUACUCAGAAAGCUCCACAUCAAUAAACAUGACACUCUGAAGUGAAAGUAGCCACGAGAAUUGUGCUAGUUAUACUGGUUCAUAAUCUGGAGGCAAGGUUUGACUGCAGCCACCCCAUCAGUCUGUGCCAGGCAUGGUGUCCUCCCAGGAGGCAAAUCCAGAGUCUGGCUGUGGGGAAAGUGACCACUUUGUCCUGACUCGAUCGGUUAAGGAGCUGUCUGGUAACCUUCCAAGUACCUGAGUGAGUGUGUAACAUACUGGGUUGGCCAAGCCUGGUAAAGCUGUUGGACUGAGUAUGUGAUUCUUUUUAAGUAUGAAAAUAAAGAUAUUUGUACAGAAAAAAAAAAGUACUUUUAUUUUACUGUGGACAGCUGCUAGAGAUAUAGUGAUACCACUCUCUUCUAUAUUUUAAUUAUCAAGGUAUGACUUUAUGUUACUUUGUAUAUUUAAUUACAAAGGAAGACUAUCCUCUAUAGCUUUAAAAGAUGCUGAACCCUACCCUUUCCCAAUGUUUACACUAAUGACAACUGUUAAUAAUUGUUUUUAUAAAGUAAAUACUAUCUACUUAA
rnacentral:sRNA from 1 species